UCUGCCGAGAAAAGCCUCUAGCGAGCUUCGAGCGGCCCGUACCCCAAACCGACACAGGUGGUCAGGUAGAGAAUACCGAGGCGAUCGGGCGAACUAUGGUUAAGGAACUCGGCAAAUUACCCCCGUAACUUCGGGAGAAGGGGGGCCACAGACUGUCAAACUCCAUGCGGGUGGCAGCGGUAGGUGGCCGCAGAGACCAGGGGGAAGCGACUGUUUACUAAAAACACAGGUCCGUGCGAAGUCGUAAGACGAUGUAUACGGACUGACGCCUGCCCGGUGCUGGAACGUUAAGGGGACCGGUUAGUCCGCAAGGGCGAGGCUGAGAACUUAAGCGCCAGUAAACGGCGGUGGUAACUAUAACCAUCCUAAGGUAGCGAAAUUCCUUGUCGGGUAAGUUCCGACCUGCACGAAUGGCGUAACGACUUCCCUACUGUCUCAACCAUAGGCCCGGCGAAAUUGCACUACGAGUAAAGAUGCUCGUUACGCGCGGAAGGACGGAAAGACCCCGGGACCUUCACUAUAGCUUGACAUUGGUACUCGAAUUGAAUUGUGUAGGAUAGGUGGGAGACUAUGAAGCUCGGACGCCAGUUCGGGUGGAGUCAAACUUGAAAUACCACUCUGUUGAAUUUGGGUACCUAACUUCGGACCGUGAUCCGGUUCAGGGACAGUGUCUGGUGGGUAGUUUAACUGGGGCGGUUGCCUCCUAAAAUGUAACGGAGGCGCCCAAAGGUUCCCUCAGCCUGGUUGGCAAUCAGGUGUUGAGUGCAAGUGCACAAGGGAGCUUGACUGUGAGACUGACAGGUCGAGCAGGGACGAAAGUCGGGACUAGUGAUCCGGCACCUGCGAGUGGAAGCGGUGUCGCUCAACGGAUAAAAGGUACCCCGGGGAUAACAGGCUGAUCUUCCCCAAGAGUCCAUAUCGACGGGAUGGUUUGGCACCUCGAUGUCGGCUCGUCGCAUCCUGGGGCUGGAGUAGGUCCCAAGGGUUGGGCUGUUCGCCCAUUAAAGCGGCACGCGAGCUGGGUUUAGAACGUCGUGAGACAGUUCGGUCCCUAUCCUCCGCGCGCGCAGGAGACUUGAGAAGGGCUGUCCCUAGUACGAGAGGACCGGGACGGACGAACCUCUGGUGUGCCAGUUGUCAUGCCAAUGGCACGGCUGGUUAGCUACGUUCGGAAGGGAUAACCGCUGAAAGCAUCUAAGCGGGAAGCCUGCUUCAAGAUGAGGUCUCCCACCCCUUGAGGGUUAAGGCCCCCAGCUAGACCACUGGGUUGAUAGGCCAGAAGUGUAAGCCUGGUAACAGGUUCAGCCGACUGGUACUAAUAGGCCGAGGACUUAACU
rnacentral:rRNA from 1 species